rnacentral:misc_RNA from 1 species
AUCACCCCCCUCAAGCCCCUGUGCUUGGUGUUGGACGGUUUGGUGGAAGGGUGACACCCUUCCGCCCGUCCUAAAGACAAUGACGGCGGCCUCGUGGCGCCCCCGGUACACUGAGCUUCUUAACUGAGCACGUAUCGGAUCAAGGGCGCCCGGGGCACGGUCCUCUCCCCUCACGGGGAAAUUUUCUCAAGG